UACAGAGGGUGCGAGCGUUAAUCGGAAUUACUGGGCGUAAAGCGUGCGCAGGCGGUUGUGCAAGACAGAUGUGAAAUCCCCGGGCUCAACCUGGGAACUGCAUUUGUGACUGCACAGCUUGAGUGCGGCAGAGGGGGAUGGAAUUCCGCGUGUAGCAGUGAAAUGCGUAGAUAUGCGGAGGAACACCGAUGGCGAAGGCAAUCCCCUGGGCCUGCACUGACGCUCAUGCACGAAAGCGUGGGGAGCAAACAGG
rnacentral:rRNA from 1 species